rnacentral:rRNA from 1 species
GACGGGGGGGGCAAGUGUUCUUCGGAAUGACUGGGCGUAAAGGGCACGUAGGCGGUGAAUCGGGUUGAAAGUGAAAGUCGCCAAAAAGUGGCGGAAUGCUCUCGAAACCAAUUCACUUGAGUGAGACAGAGGAGAGUGGAAUUUCGUGUGUAGGGGUGAAAUCCGUAGAUAUUGGAAGGAAUACCGAUGGCGAAGGCAGCUUUCUGGCACGUAACUGACACUGAGAUUCGAAAGCGUGGGUAGCAAACAGG